UGAAGUGUGGACGCCAGUCUGCAUGGAGCCGGCCUUGAAAUACCACCCUUUAAUGUUUGAUGUUCUAACGUUGACCCGUGAUCCGGGUUGCGGACAGUGUCUGGUGGGUAGUUUGACUGGGGCGGUCUCCUCCUAAAGAGUAACGGAGGAGCACGAAGGUUGGCUAAUCCUGGUCGGACAUCAGGAGGUUAGUGCAAUGGCAUAAGCCAGCUUGACUGCGAGCGUGACGGCGCGAGCAGGUGCGAAAGCAGGUCAUAGUGAUCCGGUGGUUCUGAAUGGAAGGGCCAUCGCUCAACGGAUAAAAGGUACUCCGGGGAUAACAGGCUGAUACCGCCCAAGAGUUCAUAUCGACGGCGGUGUUUGGCACCUCGAUGUCGGCUCAUCACAUCCUGGGGCUGAAGUAGGUCCCAAGGGUAUGGCUGUUCGCCAUUUAAAGUGGUACGCGAGCUGGGUUUAGAACGUCGUGAGACAGUUCGGUCCCUA
rnacentral:rRNA from 1 species